GAUGAACGCUAGCGGCAGGCUUAAUACAUGCAAGUCGUGGGGCAGCAUGAGUAGCAAUACUUGAUGGCGACCGGCAAACGGGUGAGGAACACGUACACAACCUUCCUUCAAGCGGGGAAUAGCCCAGAGAAAUUUGGAUUAAUACCCCAUAAAUAUAUUUGAUAAGGCAUCUUAUUAAUAUUAAAGCUUCGGCACUUGAUGAUGGGUGUGCGGCUGAUUAGAUAGUUGGCGGGGUAACGGCCCACCAAGUCUACGAUCAGUAGCUGAUGUGAGAGCAUGAUCAGCCACACGGGCACUGAGACACGGGCCCGACUCCUACGGGAGGCAGCAGUAAGGAAUAUUGGACAAUGGACGAAGUCUGAUCCAGCCAUGCCGCGUGAAGGAUUAAGGUCCUCUGGAUUGUAACUUCUUUAUAUGGGACGAAAAGGGCAUUCUUGUUCACUUGACGGUACCAUAUGAAUAAGCACCGCUAACUCCGUGCCAG
rnacentral:rRNA from 1 species